rnacentral:rRNA from 1 species
ACGAACGCUGGCGGCAGGCCUAACACAUGCAAGGCGAGCGGACCUUUCGGGGUCAGCGGCGGACGGGUGAGUAACGCGUGGGAAUAUGCCCUUCUCUACGGAAUAGUCCUGGGAAACUGGGGGUAAUACCGUAUACGCCCUUUGGGGGAAAGAUUUUUCGGGGUAGAAUUAGGGCGCGUUGGCUUAGGUGGGUGGUGGGGGAAUGGCCUACCAAGCCGACGAUGCAUAGCUGGGUGGAGAGGAUGCUCAGCCACGCUUGGACUGCGACACGGCCCCGACGGCUACGCGGCGCAGCAGAAGGGUGUCCUAGGCACUGAGGGCAAACGUAGCCUCGCCGCGUCGCGUAAGUGGUGCAGGCCUUAGGGUUGUAAAGCUCUCUGAGCUGGGGAGAUAAUGACGGUACCAGCAGAAGAAGCCCCGGCUAACUCCGUG